AAGCAACACUCUGUGUCAGAUGAUCGAAGUUGUCUGAUGCAAUUUGAGCUUGCUAUAGCAAGAAAGUCUAACCUAUUCCAGUGGUCUCUUCCAUGAGACCGACUGUUAUAUAGACUUAAACAGC
rnacentral:snoRNA from 5 species